rnacentral:rRNA from 1 species
UAGGGAAUCUUCGGCAAUGGGGGCAACCCUGACCGAGCAACGCCGCGUGAGUGAAGAAGGUUUUCGGAUCGUAAAGCUCUGUUGUAAGAGAAGAACGUGUGUGAGAGUGGAAAGUUCACACAGUGACGGUAACUUACCAGAAAGGGACGGCUAACUACGUGCCAGCAGCCGCGGUAAUACGUAGGUCCCGAGCGUUGUCCGGAUUUAUUGGGCGUAAAGCGAGCGCAGGCGGUUUAAUAAGUCUGAAGUUAAAGGCAGUGGCUUAACCAUUGUUCGCUUUGGAAACUGUUAAACUUGAGUGCAGAAGGGGAGAGUGGAAUUCCAUGUGUAGCGGUGAAAUGCGUAGAUAUAUGGAGGAACACCGGUGGCGAAAGCGGCUCUCUGGUCUGUAACAGACGCUGAGGCUUGAAAGCGUGGGGAGCAAACAGG